rnacentral:lncRNA from 1 species
CUGGGAUUACAGGUGUGAGCCACCACGCCCAGCCCCGCUUGCCCAUCUUUACUGCCUCCUCUGCCACGUGUUUAUAAAUAUGUGGGUCUGUUUCUAGGCUCUCUUAUUCCACUGGUGUAUUUUUAUGUCCCUGCACCAACAACACAGUUCCUAUUUCUUUUUUUUUGUUCUUUUUUGUUUUUGAGAUGGAGUCUCGCUCUGUCACCCAGGCUGGAGUGCAGUGGCAUGAUCUCGGCUCACUGCAACCUCUGCCUCCUGUGUGCAAGCAAUUCUCCUGCCUCAGCCCCCUGAGUAGCUGGGACCACCGGCACGUGCCACCACGCCCAGCUAAUUUUUUGCAUUUUUAGUAGAGGCGGGGUUUCACCGUGUUUGCCAGGAUGGUCUUGAUCUCCUGACCUCAUGAUCUGCCUGUCUCCACCUCCUAAAGUGCUGGGAUUACAGGCAUGAGCCACCGUUCCCAGCCCACAGUUCCCAUUUCUAUAGCUUAGAAAUAAGUCUUGAUAUCUGUCAGGAUAAGUCCUUUUUUCUUCUUUAGAAGUAUCUUGUCUAUUCUUUGCUGUUAACUCUUCCCUGUGAAAUUUUUUAAAUGAUUUAUCAGAUUCCAAAAAGGGCCUGAGCAGGCAGUGUCAUGGGUAAACAGCAAGGGCAGGGAUGAGCAUCUACGUGCAGAUCAAUAAUGCCGGUGCAGCAAUGCUGGGGCAGAGUAGGGGCCAGACCAUGCAAAGCAGUGUCAGAGACCACAGCACGUCUGCAGUCCAGGGCAAGGCCACCCCAUGUAGGUAGGCUCAGCCAAUGUCAAAACAUGAUGGGUGGCAGUCUCUGCUUACUAUUAUCCUAGUGGCCCAAGGACAUCACAAAGGUACUAAACCUUUAUCAUAAGCCUCCUUUGGGAGGUUUAUUAAGGAAAUGGAAUUAUUUAUUCUGAAAUUGGAAAAAAGCUAGGAAGGACUUAAUUGUUAAAUAUUACGCUAGGCUAAGAAGAUAAGUGAAAAUGGAAAAGAGGCCAGAUUUGGGAAUUCAGACUCACAGGGAUCAAUUAGUAUCACAAAGAGACAAACCUAGCUGAAUCCAUAGCUCCAGCCUGCUUUUUCCCAAAGGGAAUUUAGGUGGUUUCAGUACAAAUCCAUGUUCAUUACUGGGGUUUAUUUUAGUUGUUUGGUUUUGUUGUUCAUUUAAGAUAACACUUAUUGAGCUUUUACUAUGGGCUGGGCUUUCUUCUAAGCAUUUAAUAUGUAUUAACUUAUUUCCAUGCCCCCUGCCAACCCAAAUCAACUCAGAGUAUGUAUCCAACAGAUGAUUGAUCGGUUGGCAUAUUUCCCAUAGCAAUAAAUCACUGAGGAAAGGUGAAGAAUUCCCUUUAUGUGUAGACCUUUGACAACCACUCCUCAAACUGGGCUUUUGAACAUUUUCCUUGCGGAUCUUGUUUAUUUGGCCUGAAUGGAAAAAUGUAAAGCUAGGAGUCAGGUUAUAUCAUUUAAAAACAAAAACCAGACAGGAUCAUGGUGACCAUAUCUUCUCCGAGGGGAGGCAGGCAGAAGGAAGGGGAUGAGCAGGAAGAUGAAUAUUCUACAACAGACUGGGAGGAGUAGCCAUUCUAUCCUCCACAGAGGUUUCUUGAACAAGGAAGACUUGGCCCCUUGCUGCGGGCCAGGAAGUCCAUGGUAUCAGAUGCCAAGCAUUGGCAUCAAGGAAUUCCCAACAAGAAGGCAGCCGCCUCAAAUCCUUUGUGGAGCAAGGCAGGUUAUAAAUAGAUCUAUAAAUUUUUUUAACCAGAAGGCAACAGGCUUAGCACAGCUAUUCUUCCCUUUCAGUUCUCCUCCCUGCAUCGCUUUGCCUAUUAAAUCCCUGCUACCAGGCAGAGCCAUCUGCGUGUCAGCCAAUCCACUGCCGCAGCCUCAGGAGAGCCAGGAUGGAAACUGGCUUCUAUUACGACUUCAGGUUGUGACCUUGCUUGUGGAAAAAGUAAAUCUUCCUAUCUUACCUCUGGCUAAUUGGGCAGGAGGUAGAAGAGACAAGAAUUUAUUGUACACUUUGCCUCCUGCUGGCUAGAACGCUAAUGUAGCCCUUGCAGAGGCAGGCUCUGGUUUCAGGGACAGGCUGAGGAGAAAGAAGCUGUGGGCUGGGUCUCUGGUACAUGCAGCCAAGACCUGCUCAUGGGGCUUUUAACUGCAAGAUUUUAGAAGAUGGGUUGUCUUACUGGCCAAGUUAUAUGUGGCUUGGGGUGUGUGUGUGUGUGUGUGUGUGUGUGUGUGUGUGUGAAAAGAGAGAGAGAGAAGACUUAGAGAAACGGAGAGAUUGAUUUCAUCUCUCCUAACAGAUGAUGACUUAGAAAUUAUUUAGCCUAUUGAGUCUCCAACCUUGUUGUAGAUCAGAACCCCCAGAGGCAUGUUAAAGCACAGGUUACUGGGUUCCACCCCCAGAGUUUCUGAUUCAGUUGGUCUGGGGCAGGGCCCGAUCAUUUACAUUUCCCAUAUGCUCCCUGGUGACACUGGUGCUGCCAGUCUGAGGAUCACAUUUUGAAAACCAGUGAUUUAAUCUAACCUCCUGAUUUCAAAAAUGAGGAAACUGAAGCCCAAAAGCCCAACAGUUAAUGAAAAUACAUGCUCAGGCACCCACAACUGGUUACUGGCUAAAGCCAGACUAGAACAGGGACUUCUGGACUCCUAAUCUGGUGCUUUCUCCACCACAUCCGGCUGGUACCUGGCCAGGAUGCCAGGGAGUUGCUAUUCUAAUAAUAAACAUGUUAUCCUUCAUGGUUGAAGAUUACCAUUCCCUGCAUGGUUUCUUCUUCCUCUGCCUUCCCUAGUCCAACAGAGCCCGCCCUGCUGGCUCAGGACAGAAAUAGCCUAGCCCAGCCCACUCACCCACCAACCAGUGGGGCUUAGAAUCAGGUCAUGCCCCACAGCCAGGUGCCUAAGCACCUGGUGUCUAUGUUACUGUCCAAGGGUUAUUGCUGGUAAAUGAAUUGGAGAUCUGAGGCCUUUGUAGUGACUACUGGGUGUGCAUAUUGGCCCUGAGUUAUAUAUAGCUCUUUCUACAUUCUCCAUGUUCUCCUGAGGCUUUGACCUUGAUGUUGGACAUUUCAGCUCAUUAUUCUGCCUAGCACCUAAAUCCUCUGCUGAGGUUAGAGCUCCACUCUGAAUGAUGAUCCCAUGAUAGGAGACUCUACUGCUGUUGGUCUUCGUUCCUGAACUGGAGUGUCGGUCUAUACCCAAACUUGGUUGCUGAGUCCUGCAGCCCACAGGUCAACCGUCCCUGUGGUAUCUGCCCACCCAGAGGCUUUCUGAGCUCCGACUCCCUUUCAAAUUCCCUGGGCUAUGCUCUGCCUGCCAGAUUAGAAACCUCAGGCUCAACCUGGUAUGAAAUCAAAGCUGAGAUUGACCUUGAGAUGCUUGUCUACCUGUCACUGGCACUUCCAGGGCCAACUUCUGCACUGGAUCACUUCCCCAGCCCCACCUCACCCUGGCCACAUGCCUUCAUCUGCCAGUGAGAUCUAGCACAAAGAUGUCCUGCAGAGGACAAGUGCUUCAAGUGAUUUUUUUCCAGCAUGGGGAAGGAGUACACUAACCUGUCUGUUGUAAUAGUUUGCAGGUCUCUGUCGAUAUGGGAGGUGGUCAUCUGGAAGGAGACAAAGGGUUGGCUCAAUUGUUCUGCAUAAAUAAUUGGUAGAUACUGGAGGUAAUGGAGAAAAUACAACAGAGAAUCUUGGAGAAGAUUGGAGCAGUUUGAAUGAUACAGGUGGCUGGAACAUAGAUGGGGAAAGCAGAAUAAAAAAUUUGCUAUGUGGAAUAGCCAGAGGACUUUCGCCGCUCAAUUUUAAUUUGUCCACUGUAGAACAAUAUGACCUCCUUAUUGCUCCAAAUCUUGAUACAUUUGUAUAGCUUUUGUGGUGGUGGCAUGUGUUGGGGGGGAAGGUGAAAGAGCAGGGCCAUAUAUAGAAGUGUGGCUUGCUCCACUCACCUCUGCUGAGACCUACGUGUAGCUAGCAGCAUUGUAACUUGGUUCUAGGUUGCACUUUGCUAGUUCUAGGUGGUGAACCUGGAGGAGUGAGCAGUGGCUGGAAAUGGGGCUGGAAGAGGAAGCAAGGAGAGCUUAAUGCAACUGGCAGCUGGCAGAUGGGUGACUUGAAUAGAUGCAUGAAACAUACACCUAGUUUGCUCUAGUAUGUUUGCCAAACAUACUAGAGGCUUCAAAGGCAACUCUUAGAUGACAGUACUGGAUAAUUCUGGAAUUUAUUGUCAGCACACUCUAGCCAUUUGAGAGAACUAGCCUGAUGUGAGACAUAGAUUUUCUUUCUUUCUUUCUUUCUUUUUUUUUUUUGAGACGGAGUCUCCCUUUGUCGCCCAGGCAGGAGUGCAGUGGCACAGUCUCGGCUCACUGCAACCUCCGCCUCCCAGGUCCAAGCGAUUCUCCUGCUUCAGCCUCCCGAAUAGCUGGGAUUACCGGCACCCACUACCAUGCCCAGGUAAUUUUUAUAUUUUUAGUAGAGACGGGGUUUCACCAUGUUGGCCAGGCUGGUCUCAAACUCCUGACCUCAAGUGAUCCACCUGCCUCAGCCUCCCAAAGUGCUGGGAUUACAGGCAUGAGCCACCGCACCCAACCGGUAGAUUCUCUUUCAUUUAGAUCCAAUUAACUUGGAAUCUGUGCUUCCUUGGUCAGAAGUUUGGGGGAAAUAAUCUUUUGUCUUGUCUAUGAAGAAACAAAUCAGAAGUAGAAACAAAGUGAGAGGGAGAAGGUUUAGAUUUUGUAAAGGAACAGGUCAGUACUUUUCCCAUACUAACAAAGUGUUUAUUGCCCUAGAAAAAUAAUUUGCAAUAAAUCCAUCAAUAGUUUACAGGAAUGUAUGGGUUUUUAAAAUGUGAAACCCUCAAUCCUUUUUUGAAAUUUGGUUUGAGGACAGUUCUAAAUUUCUUCCUAACCCCUUUCUCUCCCAUAACUUUCAUCCCUUUAUUUCUCCCAGCCAGGCCUUCCAUGGUGUGGAAAUGAUAUGGAAAGUCAGGUUGCCAUUUUUUGUAAGGCUCCCCACAGUAUCCUGGACGAAUUUUCUUUCUCCUUUCCAAAUAAGCGUCGAUCAUUGGACUGAAGUGGAUGGUUGAGAUGUUGCAGUGGGAAUAAAAGGAGGUGGCGAGAACGUUCUUGCCUAAACCAUUCCCCUUCCUUUGUUCCCAGCCCAAGGGCUGCUGGACAGUGUCUCUCAGAGUACACCUUGGUCCUUUUCCUGAGAAAGACAAACUUGGAAGUGACUAGCAGGUCUAAUUAUGCCUCUAUGGAAUCCAAAUGCUGGAAGGAGACAAAGAGAAGUCUGGAGGCCUCCGACUGGAGAGAGAGCCUGAUGGAUUAAAUCCAAGCUUCGCACAGUCCCAAAAAGCUGUCAGGGUGCCUGGGCAGCGUGGAGCCGAUCUGGACGAUGCAUUCCAGAUGGCCCGCCUUCCUUCUUUAGGUUUGGGGCCAGUUGGAGCUCCCGGGCGGUCUCCUAAGGUAGCCCCCCAGAGAGCUCGGGGCAGCUGUCCAGAUGGGAGGAACCAAAAUAAGAAUCACUGUGGCAGGCUUGGAAUUGGAGGAAAGCCCCCACCCCCCAACUUUGUGUUGAACAUCUGGAUAUCAUUUUUCAGACUUUUAAAAACACUAACUCUACUCUGUGAAAUACAGCCAAUUCAUUUCUUUAAAAAAAAAAAAAAAAAAGCACUUGGGGAACAUUCUAGGCCAAGCAGUUGCCCCAAAGUGGAUCCAAAUAAUUUUGGGCUAUAUGAUAUAGUGGAGCUCAGAGAAAAGCCUCCAAAACUAACAGGCAUCUGAUCAUCACCCGACUCCCCACCUCCCAAAUUCACCAGCUGACAAUGAUGCCACCCGCUACAGGGACUCUAGGGCAAUGCCAGGGAUUUGCAAUAUAUUUUACUUUUUGGUUUUGUUUAAUUUUAGCUUACACAAAAUGUACAAGUCAGAUGUGGAAGAUUGUCUCAUAUUCAAGGAUUUCAGGCUAAGUUAUGGAAAAUCAGCAUGAGACAGAGAGAAGGGACAGAGAGAGUAUGUGAGAGAGAGAGGGGGGAGAAGGAACAGACCCACUGAGCCACUUGAAAACUCCACGGUCUGUAAACCUGCUCUGGCCAUGACAGAAUUCUUUAUUGUGAAGACAGGUCUACUGGCCUGCAGGUCCCUUGCAACCACGUGGCUGAAUGGUAACCUGAACUGAGUCAGCCAACUGCAGCCCCUUCUCCAAAGGCCCUGAGGGGAGGCGAGAGGCAGGAGCCUCUACCCCAAGAGUGCCCAUGGUCAAAAAGGAGAGAAACCCUUCCUGCUCUUAGGAAAUCCCAACUUAUGAGGCAUAGGUAGGUCCUAGUGCUGGCAAGCUUUUGGCUUACCAGAAAAGAAUAGUCACAGAGCACCAUGUGCUAGAAAGUUCCAAGGGAAAGGAGUCUAAAAAUAUUGAGCAGACACAGUGAAGGAGUGAACAAAAUAGGUCAGGUUUAUUUGGAAGGAAAAAGGUUGCUAAAAGAGAAAACCCUUUCCAAUCCAAUAGUCAUAAACAAAGGAAGCCCAGGUACAGAUCUUGCCCAGCCAUUCCAAUUUCAAUUCUGUGGCUGUUAGAAUUCUACUUCAGUGAAGCUAUGCGGACACAUAUCUAGAAAGUAUGUGUCAGGAAAUGAAAAUCUGACACAUCCUGUCAAUUCUCCAAGUGUACCUUGAUUGAGGAAUAGAAAAUAUUUGGCCUAGUCUACAUUCGUAGAAAAUAACACCCAAUACACAAAUAUCUACUGUAACUAUGUAUCAUUGUACGAAAACAAGCCAUGAAUAAUCACAUACAUAAGUCUAUAGACUGUAAACACGUGGUGAUACAUCCUUAUGCAGCAUAUCCAUGCACUCCCAACUGCCCGAUCUCACUGUGUCCUCAGGAGUCACAAGAGCAUCGUUAUCCCUAUCAUUCAGAGACCUAAUUCAACCCUGGUUCUCCGGAUGGUUCAGCAUGCAGAUCUACAGCCUUAAGGCUUAGACCUUUGCCUGUCUUGACAAGGGCUUUUCUGAGCUGCCAAACAAUUCCCUGCUAUAUGCCAAGGUAUUAUUAAUUAAUGUUGAUCCCGCUUAUGGCAGCUCUGCUGUGAAAUGCCAGCCCUGUUAAUAGCUCAACGUUGGGCUCAUGUCGACUUGGAGUUAUAACUCAGGCCUAACCUUUAUUUUAUCUCCUUUUACGAUAAUAGAACACUGGAAGAUUCUCAAAUGCUAUAAACAAUACUCUUCUGAAACUCAUCCACCUCGUGGUAGCAGAAGCACACCAUGAGCACCAGCCAAUCUUCCUGAAAUUAUGUUGUAAGUGACAGGCAUGCAAGGAAAUGACAGGUAAAUUUUACUUCCAGACAUAAAGGAGAGUUUUUGGUAUUCUGUUCCAGACCAGAAAACGUACGUGGUGGAGAAUUUCCUUGGACUGGAUGUUUCUUGCUCACUUGAAUUUUAAGAGAAACUUUCCCAAGGGGUCCAGACAAGUGCUGUUUUGCUCUAAGUCUCUGUAUGCAGCAACAUUGGUUGUUUUCAUCAUACCUAUACCUGGUUGAAUGAAGGAGCAUGGGGCUCUCCCAAUCAGAGACACCUAAGACUGGCCCCAAAUCACCUUGCCCAGGGAACAGAAGAAGCAGAUGCCUACGGUGUGGAGCAAUGCCCCACAUCUGCGCAAUUCUAAAUUCCAUGGCCACUCAGUCUUCAUUUCCUUUCCUGAAACUGCCUGUGAGCUCUAGUAAGAUGGAGACUCCAAACUUAGAAAGCAGAUGCCUGGGGAGGUACUCUGUGCAGAAACUGGAGUCCCUGAGGUUCUGCCUCCUAGGGUUUGGCCUGGAUUUUCUAGGACAACUCACUGCACUGGGGAAAAUGAGCUCAUCCGGUCACUGAUCAGACAUAUGUCAGUGACUGAUCAGGAGUGUCAAGGACAAUUCCCCAGAAAAUGGCUGCUGCUCCCUGUGGCUUUGGUGGCAGUGCCACACAGAUGGGUCAAUCUACCUGGUAGCCUUCUCAAAUCCACAGAAUGUAAACACCAAAAGAAGCCACAGGCCCUGGGACCUGCAUAGGAAAUGUCUCAGCAGGCAUCUGACCGGAUUGGAGUCAGCAGAGGAGAAUCUGUCAAAACAAAUCCUGUUUUGGAAAUGCAGGGCUAUUCUGGUAGGGUCCAUCCCAGGACCUAAGAGGGGAGGAAAAUUGGCUAAAAAGAGCAAGACUCACCCAAGAAGCUGUGAUGGAGGCACACCCGUGCUGCCCUGAUGGCUGGCUGGCACUGUAGAUGAGUUCCAGAUAGGUUACUGGCAAAGAAAAGAGCACUUCUUCCUGCUUUGCAUCGGCAACCUGUGCCUGGAUUAUGAGCUGCUGGAGCAAGGGUAGACUGGAAGGACACCAGGAGGUUUCUGCUGUCUGAUAACAUUCCUGGGGCUCAAGGAAUUCUUCCAUCCAGUCUCCUACUUCCAGGAGGCUUCCUCCCCUGGUUUCUCCCCAGGUACCAUGAUGGGCCUUUCCUUUGAUAUAGAGCAGCUAUUUCCACACUGUCUCUGUCCAUGCCUCCAUCUGUGAGAGUUUGUUGUAUUCUUGGUUGACCCAGGUGAUCACAAUCGCCUGUUACUGACAAAUUAGAUUACCAUGCAAUAAGUACUCUAAGCAGAAGGUACAUAUGUUUGUUGUUACCAAGAAUGUCUAACUUAACUUUAAUCCAUAACAACUCGUGUUAGGGGAAAUGGCAUACCAGUUUUCCUUUUCAGAGAGUUUUCUUUAUCAUUGUUCAUUUUAUCUUUGUACCUCUUUGGACCAUGUAGAGAUUAGUCAAAUUACCUGCAUUUGACAAACGAGAACAAUACAGCCCCAUAGUGACUUGUCUGAAGAAGCCCAGAGAAUUGGUGACAAAGCUGACAUCUGGUCUCCUGAUUUCCAUUCUGGGAUUCUUUCUACUGAUCUUUCUUAUUUCAUUUAUUCAAUGUACCAACUCAAAUGAAAACGUGCCUACUACAUGGCAUGGAAGAAACAGGCUUCUUGUCUUAUCUCGCACAGUCUGCCCACGCAAACCAUCUGUCCAGCCAAACCAAAAUAGCACUGUGCUUCCAGCCUCUGCACCCUGGCUCCUGCCUUGUCGCUGGCUUGAACCACCCUCCCCCAACUCUCUGCUUAAUGAAACUUAAUCAUCCUUUAAUCCGAAGCUCAACUGUCCUGUCUUCUAUAUUGCCUUCCUGAUUAUUACAGCAGGAAGUAAUUUCUCUUGCUCGAAAUGCAGUUAAUUAAAAAAAUGGGCGACUUUGGUGCCAUCAUACUCUGCCUUGGAUUGUAGUGUUUUGUUGGUGAAUUUUAUCUCCCCAAGUAAGCUGUGGGCCUGAAGAAGGCAGCAACUGUAUUUCACACAUCUUAGUAUUCCUCACAGUCUUGCGUAUGAUGUAAGCUAAAUAUUUAUUGAAUGAGUCAAUGAAAGUGAUUUUCAGUGUUGAGAGCUGAAUUCAGAACCCCACAAUCUGAUCUCCAUGUUUCUUCUACCAAGUCAUUCUGAAAGCAAUGCAGUUUCUACUAUGAUUUGCCUCUUUGUAAGCCAAUCACGGUUGAAAAUAGGCUGUUUCAUAUGGUGCAGUCUAACCCAAUGCAUAUGGAACUGUUUGGACAGAAUAAAAUAGUUUAAAUGGCUGAGCUUGAAAACUGAACUUCCUGUGCUGUUGCUGGCUAGCAUUAAAUGCGUAUCCCCUCCCAAGAAGGCCUCCUUCUUUCAUAAACUUGUAUUAGUUCUCACCAGGAGUAGUGUGAGAAUAAAGUAUAGUGGUCGUUGGGGUGUAUCCAUGGACCAAAUGAAGAGGAGAAUGAGGGAGUGACCUGGUGUUGUGUCUUCCGUCAGUCAUCCAUUCACUAUUUCCAUAAGCAUUGACUAAGCGUGUUCUGUCACUGGCCUAGAUGAUGUGAAUACAGAAAUAACACAAAUCUCUAUAGAGUCCCAAUCUACUGAUCAUCUGUGGCCACGGCAAAGAAUUUAAGUAAAAUUCUCAAAUUUACUGGAUAAUCGUUCUUACUCUUCUUUUUGCUUCAGCUGAAGAACUGAAUUAAGGGUGGAACUCCAGGCACCAUUCUGUAAAUGAAACAUAUACUGAAAAUGGAAACAGUAUACUGAAUCAAUCUGUAUACUGAUAUGUAAUAAAACAGAUAAUAUGCUUACUAGGAGCCUCUCAGGAAGCUGUUUGGGGUAGCAAUGGAACGCUGAGACUUCCAAGGGCCUGCUCAAGUAACCACAGACCUUCCCUUCACCUACCUGCCUUCAAAGAGGGCUGGGGGUGUUGGUUACUGCUAUUGUCACAUUCUGCUGAGCAGAGGGUACAAGUUUGAGUCAGAGCUGAAUUGUUGAAGCCAGUGGAGAAGAGGCCCAUCCUAUCCUCUUUCCUCUGUGCUUAUCAGGCUGUCUUUAAAUAAAUCAUAAGCGUAUAUUUAAAGAAUAUGGGCUGAAGCAAUACUAAAUUGGCCUACACAGACAGCUGUCUGUCUUCGUCUAGCCUUGAUUAUCUGUAUCCAUUUACUUCAAAGGGAAUGAAACAUUCCCUGGGCAGUAGCAGAAGCCACAGAGAAACUCAGGUGUCUUAACCAAGUCUGGCAUCCUAUGCAUUAAUAUCCCAUUGCUAAUAGUAAUUCAUCCCAUUUGUUUAUUUAUUAAUGACAGUUAUAUGCAUUGCUCAGAUAACUUCCUCAUCCAAAUUAAAUAUUAGCAUAUUAGGUCAACAACAUCAGUCUUCUGAAGGUGAUAUCUCUCUGAAGUACAAAAGGGAUUCAACAAAUCAAGCAAAGACCUGUAGCCUACUUCCUACCAGGCAUUUUCCUAGGUACUGUGACACUUAGUUCAUUCAGAAGACUACCGUGAUAGACAAGCUAAGAAAUGUCUUUGUGGAAGAACAAAAAUAAUCUUCAGUACAUCAUCUUUACAAAAGUGUAGACAUAUCCUAAACAGCUCUAUCUCCCUUUAACAACUCAUUGUGAGUACUUUAUCCAUGCAGUUAUCUGAAUCCCUUCAGCAUGUAUUCUGUUCAUGUCUCUAGCACUGCUUGGUAUGAUGAAUGUAUAACUCAAAGAGUACAGUAGAAUUUCCUUCUAUAUGUUCUAAAAUUACUUCUUUCAACAUGCAAGUGCUUCUUCUCCCCUUCAGUUUCAGUGCUGCAUAAUCUGGUGAACCACUCCUGAUUACAUAGUAUAUAAACUUCAUAUUUUCAUGAAAUGUAAUCAUGUUCCUAUUCGGUCUUCCUUCCAAAAUGCUUUAUACCCUGCAGUAAGCCAUCAGUCCUUAAGUCAUUUUUGAGGCCAUCCUGAAAAUUUUCUAGCUCUUCAUGUUUUUACUGAUGUGUGUGGUUGACAAAAGAGUAGGCAAUAAACACACAAAUGUAGACAGUGUGAAUCCGUAUAUAUUUAGGUUGAUGUCUCCAUGAUUACUUAAUAAUACAUAGGUCAGUAUGUCAUACAAUCAUUUAUCAUUAAUUCAUGUUUCUGAUCCAGACACAUUUUUGCUAUAUGAACUUCCUUACUGCAAAAACAAACAAACAAAUAAAACAGCCCUAAUGUAACAGACACCUGUUUAGCACAUUCCUUUAAAACUCCUUGCUGUUGUUGCAUUCUCUUCCCUGAUUUUGGUUUUCUGUGUACACUUAAGCACUCAUCUAUGUACUUAAAACAAACGAGCAAAACAGAGCAAAACAUAAUAUAUCCCUCCUUUCCUCCUGGCAAGACACCAAACAACAAGCCUUCUCCUUAUUCCCUACAUAUCCCUUAUUUUCUCUUUAACCUAUUUCUACUCCCUCCCUAAACUCCAUUUUCUCUUCUGGCCUGUAGGGGUUCUUUCUCUUCUUUUUUUUUUCACGUAGUGUAUGUUAAAAACAUAACAAAAAGAAAAGACUGCUUAUUCCCCAGCUAAUGCAUAGCUAAUGCAUAGCUAAUGCAAUGAGGAGUGAAUAGAUCUGUUAAGCCACAUAAAUUUUAGCAAUCAACAGUAUCUUCUGUGCAUGGAACUUAAAAAUAUAGCUUUUAGCUGGGCGCGGUGGCUCAUGCCCGUAAUCCCAGCACUUUGGGAGGCUGAGGCAGGCGGAUCACUUGAGGUCAGGAGUUUGAGACCAGUCUGGCCAACAUGGUGAAACCCUGCCUCUACUAAGAAUACAAAAAUUAGCCUGGCAUGAUGGUGGGCCCCUGUAAUCCCAGCUACUCGGGAGGCUAAGGCAGGAGAAUCACUUGAAUCUGGGAAUCAGAGGUUGCAGUGAGCUGAGAUUGUGCCACCGCACUCCAGCCUGGGUGACAGAGAGAGACUCUGUCUCAAAAAAAAAAAACCUCUUGACAUUUCAUAUUUUAUGAAUGCCAAUUGCAAAAGUGUAUUUAGGUAAUAAUUAACUGCUUUAAAACUAGACUCUACAACAUUGGAUAUGAUUUAUGAUGAUGCCUUGGGUGCAGGAAAUAUAUAUUAAAUACUCGAUCGGUCUUUAUUCUGAUGACUACAUGAAAAAUAUCCCACUAUCUUGUAGGUUGUACUUUUUAAUGCAGAUUUCUGGCGGAAGUUUAGUUAGCUCUGUGAAUGUUUUUGAUGAAUAGAUGGGAAUCGUGGUGGCCUGGUUAAGAAUGGGAUGGAGUAUUUGGGUUUUCCCUUUUUAGGAGGUAAUAGUCCUUUGGUACCAUCUAGAUGGUCUAUGGGCUAGUGUUCUGUAGAAUUCAUGCAAAUAUGGGAGCAACGUACAUUUAAAUAAGUUAAUGAGUUCUAGAAACUGAUGCUUUUUAAUGUUCCACUGGCGUGUCCUCAGAAAGGUUUCAUUCGCUGUUGUAUGCAUUCACUGGAGAAGCUUUAAAAAAGCACAUGAAACUUGAUAGUAAUGGGACUUCAGGGGUCUUAAAUCUUUUAUUAAACUGGUCCACUCUAAGUACUUUUAGCGUAGUCUACAAAACCAUCAUUGGCCUAGAACUCCCCAAAGAAAGCCUCUAUUGAGUUUUCUUCCUGAAUUUUCCAGUGGCAGGUUCAAUGCCACAGGGCUGCACCGAGAUGUAGGUGGGAUCCUCACCUCUAAGUAAUCAGGCCACUGAGUAAGUAGGUGGCAUUAUAUUUCAGUGAAUUUGAACUAAACAGGAAAUUCACAGGAAUAAUGUUGACCCAAGCAUAAGGAAGGAGAUUGUUGAAUCUAAUAUUCUAAAAUAUAUAAUUUGUCAACAACUGAGAAUCCACAUAUCAGUCUGGAAAGAUAAGUCACAUACAGAAUAUUUUCUUUUUGUAACCUAAAUAUCUGCACUAGUUGACUAGACAAUACUGUCAGUUCCUAAUUUUAGAGGCCUUGGACUCAUUUUUACAGUAUAGGCAUAAACUAAAUAUGAGGUUCAAAACAGCUAGCUUUUUUGAGAACAUAACUAAAAGUCCCUGUCAGAAGCUGCUUGUUGUUAAUGAAAAGCCUGUUGGAAUAGAAGAAUAUAAUAAAAACCAACUGUCCUUCUCAGCUGACUUAAUUUUUGAAGAAAGCUGAAGAAACACUGACAUGUGACCUGUGGUUUGAGAGAUUCCCAAAUAAACUCCUCGAAUGUAUUUAGAUACAAACUUGACCCUAGGGAGAUUUGCAAUUUCUGUUUCAUAGAUAUGAUGGCUCAUGGAAGGAUUCAUACACAUUUUCCUUUGACUGGGACUCUGGAAGUCAGUAUGUUCCCCUGUCCUCCAUCUGCAUUAAUCAUCUCAGAGCAGCCCAAAAAGAUUCUGUAAAGAUUCCACAGAAUUUACAAUCCUACCAGCCCUUUUUUGCAAAGCCCUUUGAUACUAUUUGCAGACUUUGGGUUCAGAAUGAGAAGGCAUAGGACAUAUGGCUUCUUCCUGGAAUGUUCAUAGUUUUCCUUUUGCUGUUUAGGAAUAGGAAGCCUUUAUUAAUUUAAAGCAAAUGUCCACAAGAAGCAUAUCAUCCUCUAAGAAGUUUGGUAAUACCUAUCAAAUUUUUAAAUCAGGAGAGGAUUCUUGGAAGAUGGCAGAGGAGGAAACAUCAAUGUAAAUUUCCCUAGAUCCCUUUACAAAAAGAGUAACUAAAUAGCAAAGACCACAACUCUUGGAAAUAUAUAUGAUAAAGCUAGGUGACAGAGUAUCUCCAUAAACUUCAGAACACUAGCAACAGGGGAUGGCCACAAGACCUGCAUGCUGUUAACACCUGUGCAGGAAGAAGCAGAGGGUAAGAAUAGUGUAUCUAAAAGAUCUGGGAGCAGGUAAGCUAUGAAUAUGAUAGGUAUUCAUUGGAAGGCACAGUGGGCCGGUGUGAUAACAGUGGCUGAAUCUGGAGGAAUUUCACCCUUUUCAAUAGUGGAUGAGUGCAUGGAGUCCACAGUGAGAAGAACUGAAGGUGGUUGAAGCAAUGUAACCCCUAUGAACUCUCAAGACUGAAAAGUCAGAGCAUCUUUCCAAGGUAGGGCCCCCACACUGAGGAGAAACUUUUGAGAGUAGAACCAAAAUUGUGGUUCUACUACUUUUGGAGUCGAACCAAAAAUUGGAUUAGGAUAAUAGAGACAAAGGAAGAUAAAUUUCUGAUUUAAAAAGGGGAGAAGAACACAGCCAGACAUCUCAGAAAGCUGGCCACUGUGUUUUUGAACACCUCACAAAGGUUACAAAACAGGGACCUCUGUGAAGUUAGCUUUUCUAACUCUGAGCCAUGACUUUUUUUUUUUUAA